UACCCAAGUAGCAGCGGGCCCGUGAAAUCUGCUGUGAAUCUGUCGGGACCACCCGAUAAGCCUGAAUACUCCCUGGUGACCGAUAGCGGACUAGUACCGUGAGGGAAAGGUGAAAAGUACCCCGGGAGGGGAGUGAAAUAGUACCUGAAACCGUGCGCUUACAAUCCGUCAAAGCUGGUGAACAGUUUACUGUUGCUGGUGAUGGCGUGCCUUUUGAAGAAUGAGCCUGCGAGUUAGUGGCAUGUCGCGAGGUUAACCCGUGUGGGGUAGCCGUAGCGAAAGCGAGUCCGAAUAGGGCGUAUCCACGUGAGUGGUGUAGUGGCGUGUUCUAGACCCGAAGCGGAGUGAUCUACCCAUGGCCAGGUUGAAGCGACGGUAAGACGUCGUGGAGGACCGAACCCACUUAGGUUGAAAACUGAGGGGAUGAGUUGUGGGUAGGGGUGAAAGGCCAAUCAAACUCCGUGAUAGCUGGUUCUCCCCGAAAUGCAUUUAGGUGCAGCGUCACGUGUUUCUCACCGGAGGUAGAGCUACUGGAUGGUCUAGGGGGCCUACAAGCUUACCGAAAUCAGCCAAACUCCGAAUGCCGGUGAGUGAGAGCGUGGCAGUGAGACUGCGGGCGAUAAGGUUCGUAGUCGAGAGGGAAACAGCCCAGAUCGCCAGCUAAGGUCCCUAAGCGUGUACUAAGUGGAAAAGGAUGUGGGGUCGCGAAGACAACCAGGAGGUUGGCUUAGAAGCAGCCACCCUUGAAAGAGUGCGUAAUAGCUCACUGGUCAAGUGAUCCUGCGCCGACAAUGUAGCGGGGCUCAAGUACACCACCGAAGCUGCGGCACUCACACAAUAGCCCGCUGUUCCCUUGCGAGGGUUCAGCCAGGUGUGUGGGUGGGUAGGGGAGCGUCGUGCAGCCAUGGAAGCAUCGGAGUGAUCCAGGUGUGGAGGCUGCGCGAGUGAGAAUGCAGGCAUGAGUAGCGAAAGACGAGUGAGAAACUCGUCCGCCGAAUGACCAAGGGUUCCUGGGCCAGGUUAAUCCGCCCAGGGUGAGUCGGGACCUAAGACGAGGCCGACAGGCGUAGCCGAUGGACAACGGGUUGAUAUUCCCGUACCCGUGUAACCGCGCCCAUGGUGAAUCAGUGACACUAACCACCCUGAA
rnacentral:rRNA from 1 species